CGCCUCCCUGCCGCUCAACGCAGCCGCCUGCCCCUCGGCGCGACCCGGAGCCCGCCUGGUCCGCGGCACCCGCGUCUCGCUGACCAUCCGUCGGGUGCCCCGCGUCCUGCGCGCUGGUCUUCUGCUCAGCAAGUGAAACCUGGCCCCCGGGACCCGCUGGGCUUCCCAGGCUCUUGCCUCCUCUGGACAGCUGCGACCCUGCAAUCUUGAAACCAUGGGGCAGAGUCUGUUCCCCGGGUUAUUUAUUUUCCCAAUAACCGUGGGAACCACAGGAAAAGGCCCCGUUUCAAAUAAACCAACAAAAGUCUUUCUUUGGUUUUGGAUUUUUGGAGGUGGGAGGCCAGAUGCUUGUGUUCCUGAGGGGCACUGUGUCUGGGACCUUAGAUAGAUAGUGUGGGUCCUGGGGGUCAGACGUAUGGGUCACUGACCCAGGCAGAAUCCAAGACUCUUGAGGGGACAGGGUUAUAUCUGGAACAUCCUUGGGUAGGAUGGGGUGAGCUGGGGAAGUUCAGCUGGUCUGCUAGGGAGGAAGGAGUUAAGUGGCGCGGCUGUCACCUGAGCCAGCAUCGAAUUACCUGGGUCCAGGUUUCACUUGGAAGGAGGUGGAGCUGAGCCUGCCCCUGAGCCUCCGGCUGCCUCAGGCCUGGGUGAGCCCUGCUGCGGAGAUGUGGGGGGACACUACUGGCUAGAAAGGCUCUUACUGGGGAUCCUCACUGACUCUCUUUCUCCGGACACCCAGCUAUGGCCCUGCCCCCACCCCUGGACCCUAGACCCCUUUCAGAGCCCGUCAACCACCCCCCCGGAGCCCCCAGGGAGGUGGACAUUGCUGGAUGCACCAUCUGCCUCACUUCUGGAGAGGAAAGAAUCAGGCUGGAAUGGGACCAGAAACUGGGGCAGGACUCCUGGAAUCCUCCUGAGCACUUUCAGGGUGGGCUGAAGGACACUGAGCCUACUGCUGGUUGCCCCAAACUGCCAAUGCCUUCUUUCCCUGAAGACCCAGCUGGGGGCAAAUACUGUGAGACCCCCGCAUCUGGCUGGGAGGUAUUGGAGGCUGAGCAGGACAGUCUGCACCUUUGCCUGCUGGGCCUGGGUCUCCGGUUGCAGCACCUAGAACGAGGCCCGGGGCCCUGGACAUCAGCCCAGAGCAGGAUGGUCCACCUGCAGACUCUACAGGCAGACCUGCGUGGGGCAGCUGAGCGUAUAGAUGCACUGCUGGCAUUCGGUGAGGGGCUGGCACAGCGGAGUGAGCCUCAGGCCUGGAUGUCCCUGCAGCAGGUCCUGAGGGCCCUCAGAGCCCACCGAGAGAGCAUCUUCCGGCGGCUGCGGCGGCUGCAGGCCCAGCUGGUGUUUGAGGAGGCCAACACACUGGACCAGGAUUUGGAGGUUGAAGGGGACCCGGACUGGCCAGGACCUGGUGGGCUCUGUAGCCCCUGGGCACCCAGUAGUCUCCCCACUCUUGCAGAAUUGGAGUGGGACCCAGCAGGGGACGUUGGGGGCCUUGGGCCCUUGGGGCAAAAGACAGCCUGGACACCAGGGGAUUCCUGUGAGCUGUGUGGCCACAGGGGCCCCCAGAGUAGGGGACAAGGCCUUGAGGUAAGAGCUGGUAUGGGACGCUUCCACCCAGGCACCCACAGGACACCUCUACACACCUCCCAGCAGGGUCCUUCCCUUUCAAGGAGGUUUGGUGGCUCAUUCUCUUUCUGUCUGUCUGUCUGUCUGUCUCUCAGUGUCUUUCUCUCUUGGUGUCGUCACAGUGUUUUCCUCCCUCCUUCCCUUGUCUCUUUUCGUCUCUGUAUCUUCCUCCAUCUCACUCUUUCUCUCUCUCUGGUCCAUCUAUAUCUACAUUUCCUCAUUUCCUCUCACUCUCCCCCUUGCUCAUCCCACUACAACCACAUUAGCCUCCUGGCUUUUCUUCAGGCAUUCCAAAUUCACUCCCAUCUCAAAGGCCCAGCUCGCCUCUUCGCUUCAUUCCAUUCUCACCUCAAAUGUCACUUCUUCACAGAGGCCUGCUGUGACCUCCAAACACCAUCACUCCUUAUCCUUUUACUUUAUUUCUUAAUGGCACUUACCACAUCUUGACAUUAUAUAUUUAUUAAUUUACGGUCUCUCUCCUGCUAGCAUAGAAGCUCCAUGGAUGCCAGGACUUUGCCUGUUUCCGUUGCCACUGUGUCCUUAGCUCCUGGAGUAGUGCCUGGCAUGUAAUAGAUACUCAUUAAAUAUUUGUCAAAUGAAUGAAUGAAUAAUGUCUCUCCCCUCUUGGUUCCUUUGGCUCUGCCCCUCUCUUCCUCUCUUCCCAAGGUCUUUCUCUUUCCUCAGAAUUCCUCUGUGACACCCCCCAUUUUGACCCCUUCCCAACCUUGUAUCUCUUUGUCAUUGGUUCUCCAGGACCCCACACCUCUCUCUCCCCACAGGACAUACUGAUGUCGGGUCUCAGCCACCGGAAACACUUAGCAGGUCACCGAAGACACUCCCUGCUCCGGAAGUCUCAGGACAAGAAGAGACAAGCAUCUUCCAGUUUCCAGGAUGUGAUGCUGGAGGUU